UACGGAGGGCGCGAGCGUUAAUCGGAAUUACUGGGCGUAAAGCGCGCGUAGGCUGUUGUGUAAGUUGGGGGUGAAAUCCCACGGCUCAACCGUGGAACAGCCCUUGAUAUUGCGCGACUUGAAUCCGGGAGAGGGUGGCGGAAUUCCAGGUGUAGGAGUGAAAUCCGUAGAUAUCUGGAGGAACAUCAGUGGCGAAGGCGGCCACCUGGACCGGUAUUGACGCUGAGGCGCGAAAGCGUGGGGAGCAAACAGG
rnacentral:rRNA from 1 species